rnacentral:rRNA from 1 species
CUCGUAGGCGGUUUGUCGCGUCGAAUGUGAAAACCCGGGGCUCAACCCCGGGCCUGCAUUCGAUACGGGCAGACUAGAGUGCGGUAGGGGAGUCUGGAAUCCCUGGUGUAGCGGUGAAAUGCGCAGAUAUCAGGAGGAACACCGGUGGCGAAGGCGGGACUCUGGGCCGAUACUGACGCUGAGGAGCGAAAGCGUGGGGAGCAAACA